CUUGGAUGACAGAGCUGAGCUACCCUCGCUGGUUUCGUAACUAUUCCUCAGAAGAGAGACAAUCACCAAACCCCCAAAUCUUCUAGAAAAAUCAACCGUGAAAAACAGAUAAGUGAUGAAACUUCAUUCGGCCUGAUCAACGGCUGUGAAGAACUCUCAAAGUCCCUUUAGCAGGCUGGAAAUACGAACGCUAUUUUUUCCAACACAGAAGUCUGCAUUUUUCUCAAAGCCUGGGCUUUGGCGUUCACCGAUGUUUUUUAAAGCCAGGGUCCCUGAUGCCUCUUUUGGGUCUGGUCUUGGGUCUUCUCAUCGUCAAUGCUUCCCAGCAGAUGCGUCUGUCUUGAUCUCCAAUGCCUGAGAACAAUGACACGUUCCCUAAACAAUUAGUGCAUAAAUGGCCGAGAGGGCGGAAUUGAAAGGAAGUGCAGCGAGCCAGAAUUUAGAUGCCCGCCGAGUUUCCAGCCAAAAGUAGCAUCAAAGUCUGUGGGAAAUGAUGCUUCACAGAUGCAAAAGGGUUUCUCAGCACUCCUGGGUCUCUGGAGCCCGUGUUUACACCUCUUGAAGUCAUCUCCAUCAGCAUCUCCACGUUUGAACCACUCAGCUUGGAUUCUGACUGGUAA
rnacentral:lncRNA from 1 species